UUAACUUAACCUAUAUGAAGGUUUUCUCGUGUGUGUGUCAGUACCAUUGCUUGCUCAAAGAUGUAGCUGUGAAGUAAGUCUCUCCCUACAGCCGUUUGAUUGGCCCAGCAAAUCGAGUGUGAAAUCAAAGAUAAGGGUGGCGUCUGAACUAUGCUCCACACAGCAAGCAGAUUUGAUUUGUCAAGGUGUGACUAGGGUGGGUACUCUAGUUUUUUGUAUGGACACAAGUAGUGUGGUCAGGAGGAAUGGACCUGGGAGGAGAUUUUGGAUGAUGCAGGACCCUGGAUGCAGGCUGGGGAGUUUCGCCGGCAGCGAAAGCAGAACGGCGACGUUACGAGGAGUAUUACCAACGAGGCAAGCACGAGAGGCAGCCCCAAAAUAUUUUGGGGGGUGGCACACAGGGAGAUUGGCAGAGUCUGGGUUUAGACCUGAGCCAACUCCUCGUGCUUACCAUGGGGAGCGUGUGACUGGUCAGGCACCGUGUUAUGCAGUGAUACGCACGGUGUCUUCUGUUCGCAUUCAUAGCCCGGUGCGCUCUGUUCCAGCUCCCCGCAUUUGCCGCGCUAGAGUGGGCAUCCAGCCAGGACGGGUUGUGCCGGCUCAGCGCUCCUGGUCUCCAGUACACCUCUUCGGACCAGGAUAUCCUGCGCCGGCUUUACGCGCUGCAUCUCCAGUGCACCUCCACAGUCCAGUACGUCCUGUGCCUCUUCUUCUCUUCUCUCACCAGCCCGGUACCACCAGUGCCGGCACCACGCAUCAGGCCUCCAGUGCGCCUCCUCAGUCCGGGGCCUCCGGUGACGGUCCCCAGUCCGGGGCCUCCGGCGAUGAUCCACGGUCCGGUUCCACCGAAGCGUGAGGGGGGCCUGCGUCCAGAACCGGAGCCGCCACCAAGGGUAGAUGCCCACCCGGACCCUCCCCUAUAGGUUCAGGUUUGCGGCCGGGAGUCCGCACCUUUGGGGGGGGGUACUGUCACGCCCUGCCCGUAGAUAUGUUUUUCUAUAUAUUUUGGUUAGGUCAGGGUGUGACUAGGGUGGGUACUCUAGAUUUUUGUAUGUCUAGGGUUUUGUAUAUCUAUGUUGGCCUAAUAUGGUUCCCAAUCAGAACAGCUGUUUAUCGUUGUCUCUGAAUGGGGAUCAUAUUUAGGUAGCCCUUUUUCACACUUUCUGGUGUGGGAUCUUGACUAUGUAGUUGCCUGUCAGCACUAGUGUAUAGCUUCACAUUUCUUUUGUUAGUUUGUUCGGUGUUCAGUCUUUUUAAUAAAGAGAAUGUGCGCACACCA